rnacentral:rRNA from 1 species
UGGAUUCGCUAGUAAUCACGCAUCAGCCACGGCGUGGUGAACACGUUCCCGGGCCUUGUACACACCGCCCGUCAAGCCAUGGAAGCUGGGGGUGCCUGAAGUUCGUGACCGGAAGGAGCGACCUAGGGCAAAACCGGUGACUGGGGCUAAGUCGUAACAAGGUACC